rnacentral:misc_RNA from 1 species
GAUGAAGAACGUAGUUAAAUGCGAUACGUAAUGUGAAUUGCAGAAUUCAGUGAAUCAUCGAGUCUUUGAACGCACAUUGCGCCCCCUGGUAUUCCGGGGGGCAUGCCUGUCCGAGCGUCAUUGCUGCCCUCAAGCACGGCUUGUGUGUUGGGCCUCCGUCCUCCUCCCGGGGGACGGGCCCGAAAGGCAGCGGCGGCACCGCGUCCGGUCCUCGAGCGUAUGGGGCUUCGUCACCCGCUCUUGUAGGCCCGGCCGGCGCUUGCCGACACAUCAAUCUUUUUUCCAGGUUGACCUCGGAUCAGGUAGGGAUACCCGCUGAACUUAAGCAUAUCAAUAAGCGGAGGA